rnacentral:rRNA from 1 species
UACGGAGGAUGCAAGCGUUAUCCGGAAUGAUUGGGCGUAAAGCGUCCGCAGGUGGCAAUGUAAGUCUGCUGUUAAAGAGUCUAGCUCAACUAGAUAAAAGCAGUGGAAACUACAUAGCUAGAGUACGUUCGGGGCAGAGGGAAUUCUUGGUGUAGCGGUGAAAUGCGUAGAGAUCAGGAAGAACACCAGUGGCGAAGGCGCUCUGCUAGGCCGUAACUGACACUGAGGGACGAAAGCUAGGGGAGCGAAUGGG